rnacentral:rRNA from 1 species
UACGUAGGGUGCAAGCGUUGUCCGGAAUUAUUGGGCGUAAAGAGCUCGUAGGCGGUCUGUCGCGUCGGCUGUGAAAACCCGAGGCUCAACCUCGGGCCUGCAGUCGAUACGGGCAAACUAGAGUACUGCAGGGGAGACUGGAAUUCCUGGUGUAGCGGUGGAAUGCGCAGAUAUCAGGAGGAACACCGAUGGCGAAGGCAGUUCUCUGGGCCGUAACUGACGCUGAGGAGCGAAAGCGUGGGGAGCGAACAGG